GGGCGCGUAGCUCAGCGGGAGAGCACUUCGUUGACAUCGAAGGGGUCGCUGGUUCAAUCCCAGCCGCGCCCACCA
rnacentral:tRNA from 1 species